CAAGUCGAAUGGGUUUAGGCCCAUGGCAGACGAGGUAGGAACACGUAGGUACGUACCCCAAAGUCAGGGAUAAUCCGUCGAAAGGCGGAAUAAUACUUGAUGGUCUCUUCGGAGUAAAGAUUUAUCGCUUUGGGAACGGCCUGCGGGCUAUCAGCUUGUUGGUAAGGUAACGGCUUACCAAGGCUACGACGGCUAGGGGAGGUGAGAGCCUGACCCCCACCGAUGGAACUGCGACACGGUCCAU
rnacentral:rRNA from 1 species